rnacentral:rRNA from 1 species
CUCGUAGGCGGUUCGGUAAGUCGGGUGUGAAACCUCCAGGCUCAACCUGGAGACGCCACCUGAUACUGCUGUGACUAGAGUCCGGUAGGGGAGUGUGGAACUCCUGGUGUAGCGGUGAAAUGCGCAGAUAUCAGGAAGAACACCAGCGGCGAAGGCGGCACUCUGGGCCGGUACUGACGCUGAGGAGCGAAAGCGUGGGUAGCAAACA